GGGCUACACACGUGCUACAAUGGCGCAUACAAAGAGAAGCGACCUCGCGAGAGCAAGCGGACCUCAUAAAGUGCGUCGUAGUCCGGAUUGGAGUCUGCAACUCGACUCCAUGAAGUCGGAAUCGCUAGUAAUCGUGGAUCAGAAUGCCACGGUGAAUACGUUCCCGGGCCUUGUACACACCGCCCGUCACACCAUGGGAGUGGGUUGCAAAAGAAGUAGGUAGCUUAACCUUCGGGAGGGCGCUUACCACUUUGUGAUUCAUGACUGGGGUGAAGUCGUAACAAGGUAACCGUAGGGGAACCUGCGGUUGGAUCACCUCCUUACCUGAAAGAAGC
rnacentral:rRNA from 1 species